CUGGCUCAGGAUGAACGCUAGCGAUAGGCUUAACACAUGCAAGUCGAGGGGCAGCACGGUGUAGCAAUACACUGGUGGCGACCGGCGUACGGGUGCGUAACACGUAUGCAACCUACCCGCUAUUGGGGGAUAACCCGGCGAAAGUCGGACUAAUACCCCAUAUUAUUCUUACCGGGCAUCCGGUAGGUCUGAAAGAUUUAUCGAUUGCGGAUGGGCAUGCGGAUGAUUAGCCAGUAGGUGGGGUAACGGCUCACCUAGGCGACGAUCAUUAGGGGUUCUGAGAGGAAGGUCCCCCACACUGGAACUGAGACACGGCCCAGACUCCUACGGGAGGCAGCAGUGAGGAAUAUUGGUCAAUGGGCGCUAGCCUGAACCAGCCAAGUCGCGUGAAGGAUGACAGAUCUAUGGUUUGUAAACUUCUUUUGCAGGGGAGUAAAGUGCGACACGUGUGUUGUAUUGCAAGUACCCUGCGAAUAAGCAUCGGCUAACUCCGUGCCAGCCGCUGC
rnacentral:rRNA from 1 species